rnacentral:rRNA from 1 species
UACGGGGGGAGCAAGCGUUGUCCGGAAUUAUUGGGCGUAAAGCGCGCGCAGGCGGUCCUUUAAGUCUGAUGUGAAAGCCCACGGCUCAACCGUGGAGGGUCAUUGGAAACUGGGGGACUUGAGUGCAGAAGAGGAGAGUGGAAUUCCACGUGUAGCGGUGAAAUGCGUAGAGAUGUGGAGGAACACCAGUGGCGAAGGCGACUCUCUGGUCUGUAACUGACGCUGAGGCGCGAAAGCGUGGGGAGCAAACAGG